CCCUUAGACGUUCUGGGCCGCACGCGCGCUACACUGACGAAGGCAACGAGCUUUCCUUUACCGAAAGGUACGGGUAAUCUUUUGAAACUUCGUCGUGCUGGGGAUAGAUCCUUGCAAUUUUUGAUCUUGAACGAGGAAUUCCUAGUAAGCGCGAGUCAUCAGCUCGCGUUGAUUACGUCCCUGCCCUUUGUACACACCGCCCGUCGCUACUACCGAUUGAAUGGUUUAGUGAGGACUCCUGAUUGGCGCCGCCGCCCCGGCAACGGAGCAGCGGACUGCCGAAAAGUUGUUCAAACUUGAUCAUUUAGAGGAAGUAAAAGUCGUAACA
rnacentral:rRNA from 1 species